UGUAUAAACACACAACUGUCUCCGUGUGAUAUAUAAAGAGCGAGACGUAGGUUCAGGACAGACAUUGAGUUGAGAAACCCUCUCUCGUACAAGGUCUAUAUAAGUCGCUUAGUGACGAGACCUGUACUUAUAUACACCUUGCUCUCGUACACGUCCUCGUCCAGGUAUCACGAUGAAGUCCUCGCUGCUCGUCCUCAUCCUUGUCGUGGCUGUCCUGGUCUCCGCGGCGAAGGAUAAGAAGAACACGAUCGAGGCCAAGGUCGAGAAGAAAGAUGGCAAAGUGAAGACCGACGUCAAGUAUGAGCACAAGAUCAACGACAACCUCAGCGUCGACGCCGGCGUCACUCACACGCACGGAGGAGGACACAGUGACACCAGCGGCACCCUUGGAGCCACCUACAGAUUUCCUUGAUCAGCGGAAAAGAUGAGGCAGUGAGAAUGGUCGAGGGAGUUUUUGCCUUUGUCCAUCUGCUGAAAGAGCAAGGAAAUUCAUUCAAGACAAGGCGUCUUAUUUGACAGCUCGAUUAUGUGAAAUUUAACCAAGAUAUACAUAUUAUCCAUGAGUUUUACCCUGGUGAGAUGAUUCUUUUUUAUUGCAACAAUAAAUUCUAUUUUUUAUGAUUA